rnacentral:rRNA from 1 species
UACGUAGGCAGCAAGCGUUGUUCGGAGUUACUGGGCGUAAAGGGUGCGUAGGCGGUCCUAUAAGUAUGGUGUGAAAUCUCCCGGCUCAACUGGGAGGGUGGUCGCGAGACGGCUGGGCUUGAGGCUCGGUGAGGGGCGUGGAAUUCCGGGUGGAGCGGUGAAAUGCGUAGAGAUCCGGAGGAACACCGACGGCGUAGGCAGCGCCCUAGACGAGACCUGACGCUCAGGCACGAAAGCGCGGGGAGCGAACAGG